rnacentral:rRNA from 1 species
GAUGAACGCUGGCGGCGUGCCUAAUACAUGCAAGUCGAGCGAACAGACGAGGAGCUUGCUCCUCUAACGUUAGCGGCGGACGGGUGAGUAACACGUGGAUAACCUACCUAUAAGACUGGGAUAACUUCGGGAAACCGGAGCUAAUACCGGAUAAUAUAUUGAACCGCAUGGUUCAAUAGUGAAAGACGGUUUUGCUGUCACUUAUAGAUGGAUCCGCGCCGCAUUAGCUAGUUGGUAAGGUAACAGCUUACCAAGGCAACGAUGCGUAGCCGACCUGAGAGGGUGAUCGGCCACACUGGAACUGAGACACGGUCCAGACUCCUACGGGAGGCAGCAGUAGGGAAUCUUCCGCAAUGGGCGAAAGCCUGACGGAGCAACGCCGCGUGAGUGAUGAAGGUCUUCGGAUCGUAAAACUCUGUUAUUAGGGAAGAACAAAUGUGUAAGUAACUAUGCACGUCCUGACGGUACCUAAUCAGAAAGCCACGGCUAACUACGUG